rnacentral:lncRNA from 1 species
UCUAUCCUCUAAAUUACCAAAUAAAUGAACUCUCCCAAAUUCCUUUACCACAUUGAUGUUCACUCAUUAUCCAGAAUAUCAUCAAACCUUCUUUUGUGCUCAAGUAAUUAACACAAUACUUAUGGGGCUUCAUUAAAAGAAAAACAACAUUUUCGUUCCAAAAUUCAUUAGAAAUUAUAUCUUUAGGUAAUAGAUUAUUCACACAUUUUUUUUAAAUAUUACAUUUCUAACCCGUGUAGCGAGCUUUAGGUCAAUGACUCCCAGACCAGUUGGCCUUAGGGCACUAGGUGUUGAAGCACCCCUACGGACUUAAUUACUCGGGUUUCUAAUAAACAAACAAUAUAUCUAUUACCCAUGUAGCGAGCUUUAUGCCAGUGACUCCCAGACCAGUUGACCUUAGGGCACUAGGUGUUGAAGCACCCCUACGGACUUAAUUACUCGGGUUUCUAAUAAACAAACAAUAUAUCUAUUACCCAUGUAGCGAGCUUUAUGCCAGUGACUCCCAGACCAGUUGACCUUAGGGCACUAGGUGUUGAAGCACCCCUACGGACUUAAUUACUCGGGUUUCUAAUAAACAAACAAUAUAUCUAUUACCCAUGUAGCGAGCUUUAUGCCAGUGACUCCCAGACCAGUUGACCUUAGGGCACUAGGUGUUGAAACACCCCUACGGACUUAAUUACUCGGGUUUUUAGAUAUAACAAAAUUAAAAACAUUUUUUCUUCUUCUUUUUUUUUUUUGAUUUUUUUUUUGUUUUUUUGUUUUUUUGGAAAUAUACACUUUCUACUACCUUAGAUACUUUUCCUAAUAAAUCAAAAGAACUAAAUGCUGUAAAACUUUAACUUACAACCCACUAGUAUGUGUCAUAGUGUGUGUGUGAAGAAUGAUUCAAUAAUACCUGUUAAAUGAGUAAACAAUUAAAUAACUUAAUAACCAAGUGGAGAGUUCACAAAUUUGAGUAAUUCAAAGAAAAGGGAACAAAAACAACUUACUAUGAAUCUCAAAAU